ACUCAAAUGAAUUGACGGGGGCCCGCACAAGCGGUGGAGCAUGCGGUUUAAUUCGACGCAACGCGAAGAACCUUACCUACCCUUGACAUCCUCGGGAUCUAGCAGAGAUGCUGGAGUGCCUUCGGGAACCGAGAGACAGGUGCUGCAUGGCUGUCGUCAGCUCGUGUCGUGAGAUGUUGGGUUAAGUCCCGUAACGAGCGCAACCCUUGUCCUUAGUUGCCAACAGGUAAAGCUGGGAACUCUAAGGAGACUGCCGGUGAUAAGCCGGAGGAAGGCGGGGAUGACGUCAAGUCCUCAUGGCCCUUACGGGUAGGGCUACACGCGUGCUACAAUGGUCGGUACAAAGGGAAGCAAAGCAGCGAUGUGGAGCGGAUCUCGAAAAGCCGAUCGUAGUCCGGAUUGGAGUCUGCAACUCGACUCCAUGAAGCUGGAAUCGCUAGUAAUCGUGGAUCAGAACGCCACGGUGAAUACGUUCCCGGGCCUUGUACACACCGCCCGU
rnacentral:rRNA from 1 species